rnacentral:rRNA from 1 species
CCUACGGGUCGCAGCAGUGAGGAAUAUUGGUCAAUGGCCGGAAGGCUGAACCAGCCAAGCCGCGUGAAGGACGAAGGUGCCAAGCAUUGUAAACUUCUUUUGUCAAGGGACAAACUCAGGCUCGAGAGCCUGACCGAGGGUACUUGAAGAAAAAGCAUCGUCUAACUGCGUGCCAGCAGCCGCGGUAAUACGGGGGAUGCGAUCGUUAUCCGGAUGUAUUGGGUUGAAAGGAUGCGUGGGCGGAGUGUUAAGUCAGCGGUAAAAGCCCGGGGCUCAACCCCGGCGAGCCGUUGAAACUGGCUGUGUUGAGAUGUCGUGAGGUAUGCUGAAUGCGCAGUGUAGCGGUGAAAUGCUUAGAUAUUGCGCAGAACUCCGAUUGCGAAGGAAGCAUACCGGCGGCGAUCUGACGCUGAGGCACGAAAGCGUGGGUAUCGAACAGGAUUAGAUACCCUGGUAGUC